GCCCUGAGGGAUAGCUUGGUUGGCAGAGCAUGAGACUCUUAAUCUCAGGCUUGUGGGUUCGAGUCCCAUGUUGGGUG